UCCAAAUGUCAAUCUGUUUUGAACAUUUGGUAUUUUAAACACCCAAAGUUCUCAUAUCUACUGAGUGGCCUUAAUGCCCAAAGAGGACUAAAGACUGAAGAUUGUUCUAAAUCAAGAUGACAAUGCCAAGGAGAUAUUGUUUUGUCAGGUUUUCGUGGAAGAUUCUUCUAAGGAAAAGGGAUUCCUUUAGCUUAAAAUUUCUUUUCCAGGAUAGAAUCUAUGAACUUUAUGGGCGAGAGGCAUCUGGAAAAACAACACUUAGCCCUUCACGUCAUCAAGGAAGUUCAAAUCAAAAGUUCUGAGAAUGCAGGAUCGAGCCAUAUCACAUUGUUUGAUGUUGCUUUGUCAUGGAAAGGAGCUCCUACUAUCUUUUAGUUCUUGCUGUAAGGUAGUUGCCCUUCUCCUCCAAUGUGAACUUAGAUCAUAUGAUAGGUGGCACCUUCCAAGAUGUAAAUCAUGAAUAAUAACACAAGAACUUACAAGAACUCAUUCCUCAUUCUACCAAUCUCAUUCAUAAAUUUUCUUCACUAGGUCCAAUCACGUCCAAAAUCAUGGCAACGUUUUGGACAUAUGGAUGAGGUCACUUGUGGUGAGAAUGCCUUGAAAUUCUAUGCAGUUGUAUGACUGAGGAUGAUAAGAACAUGACUACUCCAGAUUGAGGAUAAGGUAACUGCUCUUGGGGUAUGCAUGCAAGUUGGUUGAAAAAUAAUCUUACACAUUCAAUAAAAAGGUUGAAUGGAGGGAUACAAUUAGGCGAAGGCUUUGGCUACAACUCUGAGGUCUUGGAUUUGGCUUGUUAACAUGGAGUCAUCAUCAAAUAAGAAAGAAACUACCUCUUAUAUCCAAUGACAAACAUGAAGUCAAAUGGUAUAUGUUUGAAAAUGAUAGAAUCCUUGAUAAGUUAGCCAUGAUCUUAAGAAGGAAGUUGUUUGAUAGAGAGAGAAUCAUAUUAGAUUCUUGAAUGGUUGAGUUAUAAUCAAAUAUGUUAGAUGUAAAAUUACCUAGCUACUUUACAACACCUAAAGUGAGCUGAAGGAUCUUUGAACUUGAGA